rnacentral:rRNA from 1 species
UACAGAGGUCCCAAGCGUUGUUCGGAUUCACUGGGCGUAAAGGGUGCGUAGGUGGCUUGGUAAGUUUGAUGUGAAAUCUCCGGGCUUAACCCGGAAAUGGCAUUGAAUACUAUUGAGCUGGAGGUUUGGAGGGGGGACUGGAAUUCUCGGUGUAGCAGUGAAAUGCGUAGAUAUCGAGAGGAACACCAGUGGCGAAGGCGAGUCCCUGGACAACACCUGACACUGAGGCACGAAAGCUAGGGGAGCAAACAGGG